rnacentral:rRNA from 1 species
UACGAAGGGGGCUAGCGUUGUUCGGAUUUACUGGGCGUAAAGCGCACGUAGGCGGAUUGGUCAGUUAGGGGUGAAAUCCCAGAGCUCAACUCUGGAACUGCCUCUAAUACUGCCAGUCUCGAGUCCGGAAGAGGUAAGUGGAACUCCUAGUGUAGAGGUGGAAUUCGUAGAUAUUAGGAAGAACACCAGUGGCGAAGGCGGCUUACUGGUCCGGUACUGACG